UUCUGGUAGGUACCGUCAGCUGAAACUGUCUCUGAAUUACAGUUAUUCUUCCCUUACAACAGUGCUUUACGACCCGAAAGCCUUCAUCACACACGCGGCGGCGCUCCGUCACACUUUCGUGAAUUGCGAAAAAUUCCCAACGGCUGCCUCCCGAAGGAGAAGGGAAUUAUGGGAGGAGAAGGUGGGACGGACCGAGCGUGGGGGAAAAAAAGGGGGUGGGAGAAAAACGGUGGGGAGGGAAAAAAAAAGAGACAAAAAGUUUUACUAAUGCCCAAAAAAAAAGGAGGUAAUAGCGCGCGGGAGAAAAAAUAUUCUUUUUGUUUAGUCGAAACGGAUAGAAAGAAUGAUUGCCUCUGCCUAGACCACUAUGGAAACCACCAUUUCCUAUUACCCCCUUCCAGGCCACUGGGCAGACAUACCAGCUUUAGCCUUAGGGAGUUAAUGGUUCAUCGAUGGCCAUUUCUUUCUCUGCCUUUUUUUGCCCUACCCCCCCCCCCUUUUUUUUCGUCCCUUCCUGAAGGGAGUUUUCGUCUCCCCAUGUUUCCUUUUAUCGCUUUUUUUUCUCGUUUUCUUCNUUUUUUCUUUUCCCUUG
rnacentral:rRNA from 1 species